UCGUCUAGAGGCCUAGGACACCGCCCUUUCACGGCGGUAACGGGGGUUCGAAUCCCCCUGGGGACGCCA
rnacentral:tRNA from 1 species